CCAUGUUUCCGAGCUAUGCCUUUGGCUGGCUCGAUUUCACCCUUGUCUUGUCUACCCUGUUUCCUCGGUGAUGGUAAAGACCUGCCAGAGGACAUUUUUAAACCAUGUACUUGCAAUCAGCGUCAGAAAACAUAAUAAUUA
rnacentral:misc_RNA from 1 species